UGGGGAAUAUUGCACAAUGGGCGCAAGCCUGAUGCAGCCAUGCCGCGUGUAUGAAGAAGGCCCUCGGGUUGUAAAGUACUUUCAGCGGGGCGGAAGGGAGUAAAGUUAAUACCUUUGCUCAUUGACGUUACCCGCAGAAGAAGCACCGGCUUACUCCGUGCCAGCAGCCACGGUAAUACGGAGGGUGCAAGCGUUAAUCGGAAUUACUGGGCGUAAAGCGCACGCAGGCGGUUUGUUAAGUAAGAUGUGAAAUCCCCGGGCUCAACCUGGGAACUGCAUCUAAUACGGGCAAGCUUGGGACUCGUAAGGGGAGGUAGAAUUCCAGGGGUAGCGGUGAAAGGCGUAGAAUUCUAGAGGAAUACCGGUGGCGAAGGCGGCCCCCUGGACGAAGACUGACGCUCAGGUGGGAAAGCGUGGGGAGCAAACGGG
rnacentral:rRNA from 1 species